rnacentral:tRNA from 1 species
AAGAAUAUAUCUAUACUACAAGUAACAGAUUCUUACUCUGUCGAAGAGCAUUGCUCUAUUCUUA